rnacentral:tRNA from 1 species
CAAGAGGUAGUUUAUUUUAAAAUAUUAACUUUGGGAGUUAAUGAAAAAGAAUUUCUUUUCUCUUGA